GACGAACGCUGGCGGCGUGCUUAACACAUGCAAGUCGAACGGAAAGGCCCUGCUUUUGUGGGGUGCUCGAGUGGCGAACGGGUGAGUAACACGUGAGUAACCUGCCCUUGACUUUGGGAUAACUCCAGGAAACUGGGACUAAUACCGGAUAGGAGCUCCUGCUGCAUGGUGGGGUUUGGAAAGUUUCGGCGGUUGGGGAUGGACUCGCGGCUUAUCAGCUUGUUGGUGGGGUAGUGGCUUACCAAGGCUUUGACGGGUAGCCGGCCUGAGAGGGUGACCGGCCAAAGGGGGACGGAGAUACGGCACAGAGUAGGAGGGGAGGCAGCAGAGGGGAAGAUAGCACAAUGGGCGGAAGCCGGAUGCAGCAACGCCGCGUGCGGGAUGACGGCCUUCGGGGUGUAAACCGCUUUCGCCUGUGACGAAGCGUGAGUGACGGUAAUGGGUAAAGAAGCACCGGCUAACUACGU
rnacentral:rRNA from 1 species